rnacentral:rRNA from 1 species
GCUUAGCCCUCAACAUAGAUAGUAAGAACACAAUACUAUCCGCCAGAGAACUACAAGUGAAAAACUAGAAACUCCAAGGACUUGGCGGUGCUCCAUAUCGACCUAGAGGAGCCUGUCCUAUAAUCGAUAAUCCACGCUUUACCCUACCACCCCUUGAAAAAUCAGCCUAUAUACUGCCGUCGUCAGCUUACCUUAUGAAAGAAACCAAAGUAAGCAAAAUAGUCAACAACAAAAACGUCAGGUCAAUGUGUAGCAUAUGGGGUGGAAGAGAUGGGCUACACUCUCUAACACAGAACACACGAACAGUACAAUGAAACAAGUACUCAAAGGCGGAUUUAGUAGUAAGACAAACAAGAAAUUUUGCCUGAAACACGCUCUGGAGCGCGCACACACCGCCCGUCA